rnacentral:lncRNA from 1 species
UGCAAGGACUCCACAUUGAUGCAGCGACACUGCAACACAUGCCUUGUUUAGCACAUCUGGGAGCCUUCUUCCCCAAACCUCCUCACAGAGAGAAGCCAAGCUGGGAGGACAUGUGAGUCGUGUUCCGGCUGUGGAUGAGCUCAGAUGUGGCCAGGACCCUGACUGCAGUGCCAAAAGAGACAUGGUGGCAACACGGGCUGUUCUAAGAACUCUGCAGCAGGAUGGAGACAGUUAGCAAAGCACCUUCUUGAAAGCUGGACCUUGCAAUGCAAGAAAAAAAAAAGAGAAUUUUUCUGCAAGCUUGUGUUUGGAGGCAUGACAUUCAUUCAAGGAAGAAGGCCACUACAGGAGCAACGAAGGCUGCAAUGGAUUUUCAGAGCUGUUGAGCUGUUAUGGGAGAGCCUGCUGGAGAGCCUCACCUAUCUGUUUUCCGGCUUCUGAAUAAGUGUUAGAGCAUGUGGUAUCCGUACUGGCACAGGGUGCAUCUGAAAGAGUACUGAGACCAGACGAUGGGCGAGGGCAGCAUGUCCUCCCUGCUCUGCACCACUUCAAGGGGAGCCCGAGGACUGGGAAGUCCUGG